rnacentral:rRNA from 1 species
AGGAUGAACGCUAGCGGCAGGCUUAAUACAUGCAAGUCGAGGGGCAGCGGGGGUAGCAAUACCUGCCGGCGACCGGCAAACGGGUGCGGAACACGUACACAACCUUCCCUUUAGUGGGGGAUAGCCCAGAGAAAUUUGGAUUAAUACCCCGUAACAUUGUUAAGUGGCAUCACUUGAUAAUUAAAGCUCCGGCGCUGGAGGAUGGGUGUGCGUCUGAUUAGGUAGUUGGUAGGGUAACGGCCCACCAAGCCAACGAUCAGUAACUGGUGUGAGAGCACGACCAGUCACACGGGCACUGAUACACGGCCCAGACUCCUACGGGAGGCAGCAGUGGGGAAUUUUCCGCAAUGGGCGAAAGCCUGACGGAGCAAUGCCGCGUGGAGGUAGAAGGCCCACGGGUCGUAAACUCCUUUUCUCAGAGAAGAAGCAAUGACGGUAUCUGAGGAAUAAGCAUCGGCUAACUCUGUGCCAGCAGCCGC